CCGGGAUGUACGGGCAUCAGUUCACCUUCUUCAGCAACGACGCUCCGGGGGACGCGGACACGUCCCGGUUGUUGGCCGCUCUCCUGGCCGAGCCGGGCUUCGGUACCGCGUGCAUGAAGGACGAGACGAAGGGGACGGGGCCGUGCCCACCUGCGUCCCACCCGACGGCUUCAGGCAGCCCCUCGGUUCCCUCGGC